GGACAUAUGGCUGAGUGGCUGAAGGCAUCUAUCUUGAAAAUAGAGGUACUACCCAGUACCAAGGGUUCGAACCCCUUUGUGUCCA
rnacentral:tRNA from 1 species